GUGCCAGCAGCCGCGGUAAUACGUAGGGCGCAAGCGUUAUCCGGAAAUUAUUGGGCGUAAAGAGCUCGUAGGCGGUUUGUCGCGUCUGCCGUGAAAGUCCGGGGCUCAACUCCGGGAUCUGCGGUGGGUACGGGCAGACUAGAGUGAUGUAGGGGAGACUGGAAUUCCUGGUGUAGCGGUGAAAUGCGCAGAUAUCAGGAGGAACACCGAUGGCGAAGGCAGGUCUCUGGGCAUUAACUGACGCUGAGGAGCGAAAGCAUGGGGAGCGAACAGGAUUAGAUACCCUGGUAGUCCAUGCCGUAAACGUUGGGCACUAGGUGUGGGGGACAUUCCACGUUUUCCGCGCCGUAGCUAACGCAUUAAGUGCCCCGCCUGGGGAGUACGGCCGCAAGGCUAAAACUCAAAGGAAUUGACGGGGGCCCGCACAAGCGGCGGAGCAUGCGGAUUAAUUCGAUGCAACGCGAAGAACCUUACCAAGGCUUGACAUGAACCGGAAACGUCUGGAAACAGGCGCCCCACUUGUGGUCGGUUUACAGGUGGUGCAUGGUUGUCGUCAGCUCGUGUCGUGAGAUGUUGGGUUAAGUCCCGCAACGAGCGCAACCCUCGUUCCAUGUUGCCAGCGCGUAAUGGCGGGGACUCAUGGGAGACUGCCGGGGUCAACUCGGAGGAAGGUGGGGACGACGUCAAAUCAUCAUGCCCCUUAUGUCUUGGGCUUCACGCAUGCUACAAUGGCCGGUACAAAGGGUUGCGAUACUGUGAGGUGGAGCUAAUCCCAAAAAGCCGGUCUCAGUUCGGAUUGGGGUAUGCAACUCGACCCCAA
rnacentral:rRNA from 1 species